rnacentral:rRNA from 1 species
AUUGAACGCUGGCGGCAUGCCUAACACAUGCAAGUCGAGCGGUAGAGAGAAGCUUUCUUCUCUUUAGAGCGGCCGACGGGUGAGUAAUUCCUAGGAAUCUGCCUUGUAUUUAGGGAUAACGUUCGGAAACGGACGCUAAUACCGCAUACGUCCUACUGUCGAACGCAGUGGACCUUCGGGCCUUGCGCUAUUAGAUGAGCCUAAGUCGGAUUAGCUAGUUGGUUGGGUAAUGGCUCACCAAGGCGACGAUCCAUAACUGGUCUGAGAGGAUGAUCAGUCACACUGGAACUGAGACACGGUCCAGACUCCUACGGGAGGCAGCAGUGGGGAAUAUUGGACAAUGGGCGAAAGCCUGAUCCAGCCAUGCCGCGUGUGUGAAGAAGGUCUUCGGAUUGUAAAGCACUUUAAGUUGGGAGGAAGAGAAGUAAAUUAAUACUUUGCUGUUUUGACGGUACCGAAAGAAUAAGCACCGGCUAACUACGUG